rnacentral:misc_RNA from 1 species
UCCGUGUUAUCCACGGCAGUCUCUCUAGAGUGCCCAACUUAAUGAUGGCUACUAAAGAUAAGGGUUGCGCUCGUUGCGGGACUUAACCCAACAUCUCACGACACGAGCUGACGACAACCAUGCACCACCUGUCUCUAUUGUCCCCGAAAGGCCUACCUCUAUUAGAAGGUAUUCAAUAGGAUGUCAAGUUUUGGUAAGGUUCUUCGCGUUGCUUCGAAUUAAACCACAUGCUCCACCGCUUGUGCGGGCCCCCGUCAAUUCCUUUGAGUUUCAACCUUGCGAUCGUACUCCCCAGGUGGAAUACUUAUUGCGUUAGCUGCGGCACUGAAGGCUUAAGCCCCCAACACCUAGUAUUCAUCGUUUACGGCGUGGACUAC